rnacentral:tRNA from 1 species
GUCAGGAUGGCCAAGUGGUCUAAAGUGCUGGACUCAAGGUGCUGUCUUUCCCUGAAUUGGGCAUUCUGGUCUCUGAAAGGAGAUGUGGGUUCAAAUCCCAUUCCUGAUA